rnacentral:rRNA from 1 species
GACGAACGCUGGCGGCGUGCUUAACACAUGCAAGUCGAACGGAAAGGCCCUGCUUUUGUGGGGUGCUCGAGUGGCGAACGGGUGAGUAACACGUGAGUAACCUGCCCUUGACUUUGGGAUAACUUCAGGAAACUGGGGCUAAUACCGGAUAGGAGCUCCUGCUGCAUGGUGGGGGUUGGAAAGUUUCGGCGGUUGGGGAUGGACUCGCGGCUUAUCAGCUUGUUGGUGGGGUAGUGGCUUACCAAGGCUUUGACGGGUAGCCGGCCUGAGAGGGUGACCGGCCACAGUGGGACUGAGAUACGGCCCAGACUCCUACGGGAGGCAGCAGUGGGGAAUAGUGCACGAUGGGCGGAAGCCUGAUGCAGCAACGCCGCGUGCGGGAUGACGGCCGUCGGGUUGGAAACCGCGUUCGCCUGUGACGAAGCGUGAGUGACGGUAAUGGGUAAAGAAGCACCGGCUAACUACGUG